GACGAACGCUGGCGGCGUGCCUAAUACAUGCAAGUAGAACGCUCAGGUUAUACCUUACUUCUCUACAUGAUAUACGAAGGGGUGCGUACCGCGUAGUUAACCUGCCGUAUCGUGCCUGAUAACGAUUGGUAACUAUUGCUAAUACUGCCUAAUACCACAUGUUGUUUGUUAUUUCCUGAAAAUUAACAAUUACGUCCCUUCGAACUAGUACUACGUUGACCUGCGUUGUAUUAGCUAGUAGGUGAGGUAACGGCUCACCUAGGCGACGAUACAUAGCCGACCUGAGAGGGUGAUCGGCCACACUGGGACUGAGACACGGCCCAGACUCCUACGGGAGGCAGCAGUAGGGAAUCUUCGGCAAUGGACGAAAGUCUGACCGAGCAACGCCGCGUGAGUGAAGAAGGUUUUCGGAUCGUAAAGCUCUGUUGUAAGAGAAGAACGGGUGUGAGAGUGGAAAGUUCACACUGUGACGGUAUCUUACCAGAAAGGGACGGCUAACUACGUG
rnacentral:rRNA from 1 species